rnacentral:rRNA from 1 species
CUACCAUGCCACCCGGAACAUCCUGGUCUUAUGUGCUUUCUGAAACUAAGCAGGAUUGGUCUGAUUAGUACUUAGAUGGAAUAUCACCAGGUAAUACCAUGAAAUCUCCAAGC